CCGCCCCUUAUCCGCGCUCACCCCGACGGCUUGCCCGCUCCAACUCAGCUCAUUGGCUAGAAGGGAGAGCAGGGUGGUCCAAUGGCGAGCGAGCGCACGUUCGCAACGUUCUCUCCUGCCCGGUUACAACAGCGUGAGACACACCCCUUUUUGUUUCGAGCUGCUGGGGGAGGAGGCGGGAGCUAAAGCGGUGUGAAGAAGAAGAAGCUGAGAACGUAAUGGGGGAAGGGGAGGAGAGCGCCUGCCCUGCAGAACAAUGGACUGAUGAAAGUUGGGGGGCUUAAUGCGAAUUGGGGCUCAAGAGCAGCGUUCCAGGCAAAGUCGGCGCCUUCUUAGCGUUUGCUCCUUUGAGUUCCGUAGCCCUUGCUCUCUAAUUAUGGCCGAAACAAAGAAGGUGCGAAAGUGCCCGUCGCUGCCGCAGUGUUCUAGAACUUCUAGGCACCCGUUUAAUUGGGUCAGAGCCGGCUUUUGCAGAAUAUUUGUGCGUAUAUACUCCUCGUCCAUCAUGUGACCUCAAUUUGUCACAGGACAAUUGGUCCAUGGCAGCUGACCUCAAUUCCAUCCACUGAAGUCAUUUAUGUUGACUACACACAAGCUGGCAACCAUUCAGAUGGAGGUGGUUCAAGUUUAUCGUUGGUGACAGCAUAGGUGACCCUGAGAAGCAAAUGCAAAAUGUAAAUGGUUCAAGAAAGGUGUGGAAGACAGACUGGAGAAAGACAGAACUGUCUGAGAUUUUGAGGGAAUGGUAAUCUUUGCCGUAUCUUGCACCUGAACUUCCUAGAAAACUGAAUCAAGUUGCUAAAUGCAGAUAGAAGGAUUACAUUUACUGGGGGGAGGGUGGGCACCUCAGGAUUUUGGCUGCAUCCACACGGGUGAAAGAAAGUGCCCAUGGAGGCCCAAGGGGUACAGUAUCUGCACAACAGUGGUGCCCUGAAGCACACGGAGCACUCCUUAGGACACCAGAGGACCAUCAAACAGCCUUAGAGGUGUCCUUCCCACGGAGCUGGGAAAAGAACUCUGAGGACACUGGCUGCCCUCAGCUGCUUGUCUUGCUGCUGUGCAGAUAUUCGGUGACCCCAUGAACAACUUACCUGGCCUGCACUGCACCCGGAAGCAUUUUUUUGUUAUGCCAGAAAUGGUUGACUUCUGGGGCCAUUUCCAAUACAAUGAAAAAUAGGCCCAUGCUGCAUCUUGGAGCUUUCAUUACUCAAUUUCAGAGGGAGGCUGGGGAACACGGUAUACAGGCGCUGUGCUCCUCGCACCACUGCUCACCUUCCCCUUCAGCCAGCAGCCCACCUUGGCCAGGAGGUGGGAGCUGGGGAAGCAGAAGUGAAAGAACCUCCAGCCUCGGUGACAGGUGAGACGUGAGGCUGAACAGGCCAAAUUUUGUGCAAAUUCAGAUAAACCCAAAAUUGCAAUCUUGUUCCAUGCCUGCCUGGGUUUUUACUCUGGCAGCGGCAGCAAAGGGAUAAGAUACAGGCAGGCCGGCAGGCCAACAAUCAGGGGCAGCCAGAGGUGGCAAAGACAGGGGAGAAGGAACACAGUGGGGCACAAUGGUGCCGUCCAUCUAGAACACCCCAAGUGUCCGGCAUUGGGCAAGAGGGCAAUGAAACCAUCCCUCUGCCUGCCCAGAAUAGUCUCCUUUUACCGGGAUGGAGGCCAUGGAAAACAGUGAGAUAGUCUCAGUGAAGGUUAUUUCCUUAAAAAUAUGAACUGUCAUUUUGUGAUCUCAGUUCGCUAGGUGACCUGAAACAGAUGUUUUUGUUCUAAUCUGGCUGUGGCCUUCAUCACAUCUGAGAACUUGAGGAGAGCUGGAGAAACGAUUGGUGAGGAGGCGCUCAAAGGCACUGUCAUCAGUUCUGAGGGCCAAGCCGACUGUCAUUUAUGGCCUAGAACCAUCCUGUCUGGUAGCCAAAGCCUCAAGUUUCAAGAUUUGCUCUCAUUCUACAAUUUACCAUUCUCAGUUAGCUGCUGUUGUUAUGGUGUUAUGAUUCCAAAAUCACUCAGUCAAGAACAGUAAAACAAACCAAUUAGAGAAUCUACAAUAAAGGUGAAAGAUGUAUAUGGUUUGAAGAGAGA
rnacentral:lncRNA from 1 species